GUUCCAGUGGCCUAGUGGUUAAGGCAUCCACCUUGUAAGCAGGGGUCACAGGUUCAAAUCUUGGCUGAGUCA